UAGAGUUUGAUUCCUGGCUCAGGAUGAACGCUGGCGGCGUGCCUAACACAUGCAAGUCGAACGCGAACCCAUCUUCGGAUCGGGGGAGAGUGGCGAACGGGUGAGUAAGACGUUGGUGACCUGCCCCGGAGAGGGGGAUAAUUCCGCGAAAGCGGGACUAAUACCCCAUAGGCUGCAGGGGGUUAGAGGCUUCUGCAGAAAAGGCUGAGGCGCUUCGGGAGGGGCCAGCGGCCUAUCAGCUAGUUGGUAGGGUAAGGGCCUACCAAGGCUGAGACGGGUAGGGGGCGUGAGAGCGUGGCCCCCCACAAUGGCACUGAGACACGGGCCAUACUCCUACGGGAGGCAGCAGUGAGGAAUAUUGCGCAAUGGGGGCAACCCUGACGCAGCAACGCCGCGUGGGUGAAGAAGGCCUUCGGGUUGUAAAACCCUUUUCUGGGGGACGAGCAAGGACGUACCCCAGGAAUAA
rnacentral:rRNA from 1 species